rnacentral:tRNA from 1 species
CCAUUUUUAGCUCAGUGGAAUAGAGCAUCAGCCUUCUAAGUUGUUGGUCGCAGGUUCGAAUCCUGCAAAAUGGA